rnacentral:rRNA from 1 species
GAGUCCGCGUUUCAUUAGCUANCNUUNUAGGGUAACGGCCUACCAAGGCAACGAUGGGUAGCCGAUUUGAGAGGAUGAUCGGCCACACUGGAACUGAAACACGGUCCAGACUCCUACGGGAGGCAGCAGUGGGGAAUAUUGCGCAAUGGGCGAAAGCCUGACNCANCGACCCCNCNUGAGGGAUGAAGGUUUUCCGAUCNUAAACCUCUGUCANAAAGGAANAAACCNCNCCNUGCUAAUCAGCGGUGCAUUGACGGUACCUUUCAAAGGAAGCACCCGGCUAACUUCGUGCCAGCAGCCGCGGUAAUACGGAGGGUGCAAGCGUUAAUCGGAAUUACUGGGCGUAAAGCGCACGUAGGCUGCUUUGUAAGUCAGGGGUGAAAUCCCACGGCUCAACCGUGGAACUGCCUUUGAUACUGCUUAGCUUGAAUCCGGGAGAGGGUGGCGGAAUUCCAGGUGUAGGAGUGAAAUCCGUAGAUAUCUGGAGGAACAUCAGUGGC